rnacentral:rRNA from 1 species
UACGUAGGGUGCAAGCGUUGUCCGGAAUUAUUGGGCGUAAAGGGCUCGUAGGCGGUUUGUCGCGUCGGGAGUGAAAACUCAGGGCUUAACCCUGAGCCUGCUUCCGAUACGGGCAGACUAGAGGUAUGCAGGGGAGACUGGAAUUCCUGGUGUAGCGGUGAAAUGCGCAGAUAUCAGGAGGAACACCGAUGGCGAAGGCAGGUCUCUGGGCCGAUACUGACGCUGAGGAGCGAAAGCGUGGGGAGCGAACAGG